AAGAUUGAUUCGCGAAUCGCUCCCGCCGCCGCUUCACCACCACCGUCGCCGCCGCCAAGGCGAGGCGCGCAUGCGCACCAUGGAGGGGGCUUCGCCGGAGGAUGACGCCACGAAUGGAGGAGGAGGCGGGGCCGUGGAGAAGACCCCAUCGGCUGAGUGUUCCGCCGCGGACGGGAGGCAGGAGCACCGGGCGGCGGAGGGCUUCCCGGCGAUCUUCAUUAAGGAGGACGUGGAUGCCGGCAAGGAGGGGGAUAAGUGGGUGGGGCAGUACUCGUCGGCGCAGAGCAUCCUGCUACUUCUCCUUCUCCUUGGCGCUUGCCAGUGGCUACGGCUCCGGCAGCAACCUCGUUGCCACUUCCCUCGACUCCUUCGAUACCCUGAAGAAAAAGUACAGCCGGGCAGAAUCGAAUUUGGCAAAGCUCAAAAACAUGGGGGCAACAAUUUUGCAUGGAGUCAAUGCAAAAACCAUGAAGCUUCAUGCUGAUCUCAAGACGAGAAAGUUCGAUAGGGUUGUUUUUAACUUCCCCCAUGCUGGAUUCAGGGGGAAAGAAGAUCAAAUGCACGUAAUCAAUGCACACAGGGAGUUAGUAAAGGACUUUUUCUGUAGUGCGAGUCUCUUGCUUCAGCCUCAUGGUGAAGUUCAUGUCAGCCACAAGACGAAAUACCCUUAUAACAUGUGGAACCUGAAAGAACUUGCUGCAGAGUUUGCUCUUGAUCUGGUUGAGCAAGUUGACUUCCAGAUAGCAGACUACCCUGGCUACAACAAUAAGAGAGGAGAUGGCCUGAGCUGUGACCAACCUUUCAUGCUCGGAAAAUGCAGCACAUUCAAGUUUAGAAUCGGGGAUCUGAAGAAGAUGAGAAGAGUGCACACGUUCGGUUCAGUGCCAUCCAUUGGGAACGGCAGAUUUCAUCCACACAGCUUGGCUUCUGAUGGUUGUAGGCCUUUCUAUCCACCUCCACUUGCUCCGGGGUGGCUGCAGCCUCAUGUUGCAUUUGACAUGUUUAGCGUCCCAGCAGGCUCGGGGUUCUCCCACUAUGAUGCCGUUCAAAGGUGUCUAUCGGUACCAGGAUGUCUUCCUCAACCAAAUAGCACCACGUCAGGUAUCAUUCAUCAGGACCAAACUUGGUAUCAGAGGACGCGUAGUCCGGAACAUUUUCUUCAGGAGCGGGCAACUGUGGCAAGGCUGCGAAUGCUGGUAGCGAUGUAUGGUAGACAGUGAACGAAUCGCAGGUCCUGGAGAGUGAAGAUACUCCGUUUUGGAUUUCCAGCGUUUCAGACUGGCCACGAGGCCGACAGGUGUAUGUGUUCAGGCUUUGAGUGUGUAGUCUUUUGUUGUGUGCGGUUUCGUUCUAACUUAACCAGAGCUUGAUGUAUUUCGGCGAGCCUGUCGCUGCCGGCGCGCCGAAGCCCCCCAGGCCGGCCAUGUGCGCGCCCAGGUCAUGCAAGUUGACCGUCGUGACCACGGCGAGGGCCACGCCGGCCCUGAAGCCUGUGAGGCUACUAGACGAGGUGGCAACGGCGGAGAGGCCGGCGGCGAGGAGGAGGGUGGCGAAUGCGUAGCCACUUGAUGUACUCUCAUUAGAGUUGCGGGGAGCUAGCAGGUGAGGAGGUUGGUGGCGGCAAGAAGCAGAGAAAGAGGGGGUCACAGCCUCACAGGAGAGUGAAGAGUAGACAGGGUUUUUUUUUUGCAAAAAACAUGUGGCCCAAAGUAGCCACGUCGGUAGCAGAUACGCGCCCGAGCUGCACUAGGAUCUGAACUGAACCAUAUAUGAAACAAUUCGGACUCUAGGACCUUUACGACC